AUACGGAGGGUGCAAGCGUUAUUCGGAAUCACUGGGCGUAAAGGAUGCGUAGGCGGGUUGGCAAGUCAGAUGUGAAAUCCUACAGCUUAACUGUAGAACUGCAUUUGAAACUGCUAACCUAGAGUAUGGGAGGGGGAGAUGGAUUUAGUGGUGUAGGGGUAAAAUCCGUAGAUAUCACUAGGAAUACCGAAAGCGAAGGCGAUCUCCUGGAACAUAACUGACGCUAAGGCGUGAAAGCGUGGGGAGCAAACAGGAUUAGAUACCCUAGUAGUCC
rnacentral:rRNA from 1 species